GUUAUUUCGGUGCUCUUGGCCAAGUGAGACGUCUAGCAGACGAUAAAAACACUUCCCAUUUCUCGCGUGUGUACUAGACUUGAAUGUUUCGGACUAUUUCCUCCAAGUAGACAAGGGAAUUGUAUACUAUUUAUAUUACGUGUACACAAACAAGGGUAGACAACAUCCAUCAAUGUAUACCAAAGGGUAGGCAACAUCCAUCAAGAUUCCCAAUCUAUCAACUAUGUGAAGGAAACAGAUUCCACAAGGGGAGACGACUCGCGUCCAGGAGAGACGACUGGAAAGUUGAACAAAUAUCAAGGAAUAAUAAAUAACAGACGGAUUUAAUUUUGGGCCAGACAAGUGCAGAAAAAAAAUGGGAGCAGCAGGGGCGGACUCGCCUCUUAAAAUGUGCGCGACUCUCGUGUAUGUGCUGCUGGUUAUUUCCCAUGUCAGUUUCACAUCUUCCUCGGUCAUUCACGACUUUGACCGCGCUUUCCAACAAUUCUUACAGGACAAUGGCUACCGCGGAGGAGUGGUAGCCGCAAUGAGAGAUGGUAAGCUGGUGAUGACCAGAGGGUAUGGAGAGGACCGGCGGGGCAAAACAGUAACCAGUUCUUCCCAAUUCCCAAUAUCAAGUGUGUCCAAAUCACUGACCGCCGUGGCCAUCCUGCAGUUGGUCCAGAACGGACAACUGACCCUUAAGGAUAAGGUAUUUGGAGAGUCCGGUAUUCUGGGCGAAAUCAGCCCUUGGGACAAGAGCAAAGUGGAUCCCAGGUUAGCAGACAUCACAGUCGACCAUCUUCUGCAUCACAGCGCCGGGUGGGACCACAGCCACGGACCACUUUAUGACCCCGUUCUUAAUCAGUUCUACCGAAGACGUGGGCAAAAAGUCCCUAACAUCGCACAAGAAAUGGUUAGCAAGCAGCCACUGGAUCCUAAGUUACUAAUUAGCUACGUCAUAUCCCAACCCUUGCAGUACCAGCCUGGAGCUAGGACGGCUUACUCGAACUUUGGCUACCUGGUGCUAGGAAGGGUGAUAGAGGCAGUCAGCAAUACCACUUACAAGGACUAUGCUAGAAAGAACAUUGUCAGCCGGUGCGGCAUGUGGAACACGCACAUACCAACAGAGGCAGAACCCUGGGACGUGAUGGAGGUUAUGGAUGAAGGAGCCUCCGUGUACCAGUCCCUGGAGCCCAGCUCUGUAGACUCGACACUGGGCUGGCAAUCCAACGUCUACGAUAUGAUGCGAUUUGUCAGAUGCACCUUUGAGUCUCAACAAGUUCUAAAUGACAGACAUCUGGAGCUCCUUCUCUCUCGAACAGAUUUCUCAGAAGAAGACGUAUGGUUUGCAGCUGGCUUCCGUGCUAACGCUAAGAACAUUGUGUGGCAAGAUGCCGAUCCGCAUGCCGAUGAUCUGAUUUUGUAUCACAACACAAAUCCAACUGAGGGUCACGGUUCGGGCAUCCCCGAUUCGUGGAUCAUAGCACUAUAUGACAACGCCAUGAACCAUCUGAGGCAGCAGACCAAAGAAAUCAUGCUGCUUCUGGAGAAUAUCUCGCCCCAGGAGAACCUGUUCCUUUACGACAUAUCAGAAAUACACAGCCAUCCGUCCUAUGAUCCUCGCCAGACGUACAAUGCACUGCAGUAUACAAUCAGGUACAACCUGGACGAGCACCAGCUCAGCGCCUACGUGGAUGCCCUUCAAGAGGAAGGCCUCGGCAUCCACUGGUUCACCUCGUCCUACAUCCACGACCGCACCCUCUUCACCAUCAUCGGAAAGCAAUUCUCACAGCCCACGAGGUCGCAGUACGACUACCUCUUCGAGCACGGCAUGAGCCACCGCUACUUGCUUCAGCGGAAACUGCAACUGGAAGAGGUCGGCUACAACAUGACACAGCUCCACAGCUACAGGAGCAGUACCCACUCGAAGCAGGUUGUCUUCGCCGCAGUAUUCCGCUUCGAGGCAUUCUCUGUGGACAAGCAAAUGAAGUACGGGACCAACCAUCUUCCAGAGCCCUACGACAAGCUAGUGGAGAUGUACAACGAGAAGCACUUCUACCCGAUAUGCCAGACCGUUGUUUUCGAAAACGACAAGGAAGAGUUCUCGUUCAUCUUUGUCAAAGACGCAGGGGACACUCGAAUCGAGUUCAAACACAACUACGACCUAAACACAAAACGCCUGGCCAAGCUAACAACAGACAAUGCCAAGGUGCACCUGCACUUGUCUUAUCUCAACGCCUACGACGUGGAUGGCAAAUUUAAGUUUGCUGCAGUGUUCAGCAAUGUCACAAGCCUACCCGGGGCUUUAGAAGUUGACCAGCCAGAAAGCAGCGUCACGGAGUUGGCCAUAAGGAGCUUAAGAAAUGGGAAGAUCCCAAAAUAUAUUGUCUCCUACUUGGAAGACGGAAAUAUCAAAUUUGCAGUUUACUUCGAGGAAGUGUAGACAUCUUUGAACAGAACUGUGCCUUAAGUGAUUUUGUUGCAAUGUUUUCAUUUGUGGAUCUGAAAGCUUCUUACUAUAAACAAUUACUUGUAAAAGUAUGUAGAAGUUAAACUUCAUCAAUAAUGUAAAAAACAACAACAAAGAUUUAAAAAGGCUACCAGUUUUCCUUCAAAUUAAAAGACAUUGAACAUUGAGGACUGUCUAGCCUUUACCAUAAAACAGAAUGCUCUUGACAUUAUAAUGUUUGUAAAUGGAACAGGACAAGGACAGUGAAAAGCCUUGUACAUUUAUUAAUACAAGGGAUUUGUCUGUACAUGUUGUGACUGGACUUUUAUAUUUAUCAAUAAGCUCUAAAUUAUUCAAAAGGCCAUGUAGUGAAAUAUAAAUACUGUAAAACGAAUUGUUACUUAUUAACAUCACUAAAAAGUAAUUAAAUCUUUAAAAUAACCAGUGAUUAAUCACAAAAUAUGAAUAGCAUUUUACGAUAAUUAAAUUAUAAAGAAUAGCAUGUCAGUAUGUGACCCAAUGCAACAAAAUGCUAUCAAAUUCACUGGUGAAUUUUCAAGAAAUAGUUAGAUAUUUUGAGUAUUUUUUUUUUCCUUUUUGAGUUCUUGCCUAUUUAUUUGUAUACCUUACUAAAAUACAUUUAACAUUUUAUAUAUUUCAUUUUAUUUUCUGACGGGAACACAUGUGACAAGCAUGAAAAACAAAACAAAACUGGGUGUUAUAAAUGGUGAUAAAUAGAAGUUAAAUGCAUUGUGUUUUUAUUCACAUUUGUGUCAUUGUUUACAAGAUAAAUGUGAGACUAUAUCAAUGUAGACUAUUUGAAAUAUAAAUGUAUUAAUGAAGUCAUGUUGUGUGUUCACCUAUUCAAAACAAAAAUUGUGUAUUGUAUUUAUAAGAGUGCAAACAUUACUCAAUAAGUGUAUUAAGUCAUUAAAAGAACAAAUAUAAUGCUUUCAAAGUGAAUUGGCGUCUCAUUUCAAGGAUUACCACAGCAUGAAACAAAGAUUGAAAUGCCUUGGGAUGAGUAAUACAUUUUUUUACGUGUAUGCUAACCAGGGUCAAUAAAAUAUAUUGGAAGAUAGGUGAUUAAAGUAUAACUUGAACUUUAAAUAAUUUAGACACAGCCUAUAUACUAGUAUAAAAUUACAAUUUUAUUUUUAAAAUUUAGACUAAGAGCGAGAGAGAGUGAGUGAGAGGGAAAGGAGUCAAGUGCCAUAACUUAACAUUGGCUGGCAAACACUACAAUCACACAUCCUGAAAAAAAAACCCACAAAUUUGCUACAUCAGACCUUCCUUGACCAUGGUGGUGUAAUGACACAAGAUGCGUAGAAGUUGAUGUGAAUCGGGUUUUUCCUAAGUAAUGUGACGAGUAAGAACAGAGUAGGAUUAUGAACAAGAAGAAUAAAAGACAAGACGCCUAAGAGGACGACGCUAGGCUAGCGACGACAGAGGACUGUGCCCUUUUUAUUGUUUAUUAAAUUGUUGAAGUUAUCAGCCUGCGUUAUUAAGUAUAUUCUUGAUUCAUUCUGUUGUUGUGUCAUAUGGACUCGCAUGCACCAUUAACAUAUAUAUACUCAUCAACAAAAUAGACCAUCAACAGAUGUGGCGACCCACGACGGCCAGGGCGUCAUUUUGAUCUACAAUCUAGUUAACUUCGUGUUCUGGAUAUAUCUAUCUACAAUUCUACACUUGGCGAAGUACACUGGAGAAGUACUGGAUUAACAUUCGUUUAUUUCCACUAGAUCUACCCUACGUCUGUGCUAAUUAUCUGGACUGCAGCUGGAUUUUGGCAUCUUUGUUCCAGUGGAUCUAGACUUUCUAUUAGAGAAAAUUCGAAACCGUUACCAGCGUCUAGCUUUGUCAGCCAGGUUAGAUAUUUUUAGAUUGAACCUGGAUCUAUAUAUAGAUCUAUAUCUAUUGUGUCUGAAUCCAGAACUAUUUCGUCCGUUGAAGUGAUUUAGGGCAGUCCGUCGUCAGUAUACCUCUAUCUAAAUAUAUAUACCUCAAGACUACUCAAGAGUGAAGAUACCUCAUUUUGUCAGGUUUAUCUGUUUAUUGUGAGUACGGAAAGUCACCUGAGUCUACAUAUCUAGUAUCUACAAGCUGACCGUUGGAUCGAGUCACCUUGUCAGGAAAGGUUUGGUGUGAUGUGUGGCAACCACCAACGUACAUAUAGCCAAUAACAGUAUUUACUCUGAAAAACUCUGUUUUAUGCCUGUGGAGUCAGCAAAGGCAUCUUCGUAUGUGGACUAUAUACAUGUGUAUUUACUCUGAAAAACUGUUUUAUGUCUGUGGAAUCGACAAAGGCAUCGUCGUAUGGGGACUGUAUACAUGUCUUGAUGGACUUAGUACUAUUGGUUGGUACUGUAUACAUGUCUUGAUGGACUUAGUACUAUUGGUUGGUGAAACUAUUACACUGGACUAUACUAUUUUAUCGUCAAUGACAUGAGUGAUGAUUAGAACACCGUAUACCGGAUAUUUUCUUACCAAUAACUGUAUUGGAACUGUACAUAUUGUUUUCUUGGUGUCAACAUUCAACUACAGUGUGAACUUUGUGACAUAGGAACAUGGACAAUUUUACCAGGAACUGAUGAAGAUGGGAAACAUGAUGAUGUCCAUCAAGAUCAAGAUAUAUGUUUGUUUUGUCUUUCCCCAAAAUUUUGGCCAUGUAUAUUGUACAGACAUGACAGUAGGGAUAGUGUUUUAGACUGAAAAAAAAAUUGACAAAAUUUUUUUUUUGAUAAAGGGGGGAGGAAAUAUGUAAUGACACAAGAUGCGUAGAAGUUGAUGUGAAUCGGGUUUUUCCUAAGUAAUGUGACGAGUAAGAACAGAGUAGGAUUAUGAACAAGAAGAAUAACGGACAAGACGCCUAAGAGGACGACGCUAGGCUAGCGACGACAGAGGACUGUGCCCUUUUUAUUGUUUAUUAAAUUGUUGAAGUUA